rnacentral:rRNA from 1 species
AUGGCCAGGUACCCUGCCACUUGGCAGGCUUCUCUUCUUUCCCGAGGUGAACGGCUUGCCCUUGUGUGACACGUUCUGUCCGCCAUGCCCGUCCAUAUUUUGUUGGCCAUGACGCUCUCACCGUCCAUUCUGAAGCUUGUGACGCAGAUCAUUAGAGAUUUCCUUUGGCACAGACGGCGUGAGGCCAGGGCGGGGAGCUACCUCGUCAGCUGGGCCAAAAUCUGCCAGCCGUUGGAACUUGGAGGUCUGGGCAUGCGUGGUCUCCAGCGUACAGGCAUCGCCCUUCGCGUGCGCAGGCUCUGGCUGCGAGCAAUUGAUCCAUCGAGGCCGUGGCACCAUCUUCCUCUCCCUACCACGACACGCAGGACAUCUUCAGGGCUUCCACUUCCUGGACUUUGGGGGACGACACGACUUCUAAGUUCUGGCUUGACCAUUGGAUCGACAGUCGUUCCAUUCGUGAGAUCGCUCCCACCCUAUUUUCCCUUAUGCCUCGUCAACACCUCAACCGUCGCCUAG